rnacentral:lncRNA from 1 species
GUGCUGUUCUUGUGAUAAUGAAUAAGUCUCAUGAGAUCUGGUGGUUUUAAAAAUAGGAGUUCCCCUGCACAAGCUCUCUCCCUCUUUGCCUCCUGCCAUCCAUGUAAGACAUGACUUGCUCCUCCUUGCCUUCCACUAUGACUGUGAGGUUUCCCCAGCCACAUGGAACUAUAUUUGCUGUUCUUGGCCAGGCCUAGUGGCUUAUGCCUGUAACCUCAAUACUGUUGGAGGCCAAAGCAGGAGGAUUGCUUGAAGCAAGGAGUUCGAGGCUGCAGUGAGCUAAGAAGCUGCCACUGCACUCCAGACUGGACAACAGAGCAAGGCC